GAUGAACGCUAGCGGCAGGCCUAAUACAUGCAAGUCGAGGGGUAGAGGAGAGCUUGCUUUCCUUGAGACCGGCGCACGGGUGCGUAACGCGUAUGCAACCUACCUUUAUCAGGGGGAUAGCCCGAAGAAAUUCGGAUUAACACCGCAUAAAAUCACAGUAUCGCAUGGUACAAUGAUCAAAUAUUUAUAGGAUAAAGAUGGGCAUGCGUGUCAUUAGUUAGUUGGCGGGUAACGGCCCACCAAGACCACGAUGACUAGGGGAUCUGAGAGGAUGACCCCCCACACUGGUACUGAGACACGGACCAGACUCCUACGGGAGGCAGCAGUAAGGAAUAUUGGUCAAUGGAGGCAACUCUGAACCAGCCAUGCCGCGUGCAGGAAGACGGCCCUCUGGGUUGUAAACUGCUUUUAUUCGGGAAUAAACCUACUUACGUGUAAGUAGCUGAAUGUACCGAAGGAAUAAGGAUCGGCUAACUCCGUG
rnacentral:rRNA from 1 species